rnacentral:rRNA from 1 species
AUUGAACGCUGGCGGCAGGCCUAACACAUGCAAGUCGAGCGGAUGAAGGGAGCUUGCUCCUGGAUUCAGCGGCGGACGGGUGAGUAAUGCCUAGGAAUCUGCCUGGUAGUGGGGGAUAACGUCCGGAAACGGGCGCUAAUACCGCAUACGUCCUGAGGGAGAAAGUGGGGGAUCUUCGGACCUCACGCUAUCAGAUGAGCCUAGGUCGGAUUAGCUAGUUGGUGGGGUAAAGGCCUACCAAGGCGACGAUCCGUAACUGGUCUGAGAGGAUGAUCAGUCACACUGGAACUGAGACACGGUCCAGACUCCUACGGGAGGCAGCAGUGCGGAAUAUUGGAAAAUGGGCGAAAGCCUGCUCCAGCCAUGCCGGGUGUGUGAAGAAGGUCUUCGGAUUGUAAAGCACUCUAAGUUGGGAGGAAGGGCAGUAAGUUAAUACCUUGCUGUUUUGACGUUACCAACAGAAUAAGCACCGGCUAACUUCGUG